CCGGUGCUGCAUGGCUGUCGUCAGCUCGUGUCGUGAGAUGUUGGGUUAAGUCCCGCAACGAGCGCAACCCUCGCCCUUAGUUGCCAGCAUUCAGUUGGGCACUCUAAGGGGACUGCCGGUGAUAAGCCGAGAGGAAGGUGGGGAUGACGUCAAGUCCUCAUGGCCCUUACGGGCUGGGCUACACACGUGCUACAAUGGUGGUGACAGUGGGCAGCGAAGGAGCGAUCCCGAGCUAAUCUCCAAAAGCCAUCUCAGUUCGGAUUGCACUCUGCAACUCGAGUGCAUGAAGUUGGAAUCGCU
rnacentral:rRNA from 1 species